AUGUUUUCCCAGCCCAGCUUCAUCUGGCUCUCUCUGGGAAGCUGUGCAGAAGCUCUUUCAGCCCCUUCCACAGGGCUGCUGCAGAGGAGGAUAGAGGGAAAUAGCAUAGAUCACCUUCCUCAAGAAGCACCAUCCUUGCCUAGGAAGAGCAGUUGCAGCUCGUCAGAACUGGUAGUACACUGUGCAAACCAAUGGAGGAAUGGUGUAGGAAACUUCUGUCAUGAUGACAAGUCCAGUGAACAUGAACAUCACUGUUCUAUCACAGGGACUGAAAAAGAACAAAACUGGGACAGUUCUACCACACCUGAAGUAAGAAGAGGGACAUCCUUUCCUAUUAUUUUCUUCACUAUGCAAGAAAAAAAAAAAAGAAAUGAAGCACCCACAGAGGGCAAUGUCAAGAUAAUAACAGGAUGGCAUACGAGGCUGCCAAGUGCUUGGAAAAGGCAAAGAGACAGGAUACUUCAUCCUAUUGACCUCCAGUGCUGGCUUCUUUCUCCGUGCUUGUAACAUGAGCUGUCUGGAAGCAAAAUGUCUUUGGAGCAGAAAUAAACUCCCAGACCUCAAAGUACA
rnacentral:lncRNA from 1 species